AGUCACUGACAUUAGAUACCCCGGUAGUCCAGGGUGUAAACGCUGCAGACUUGGUGUUGGGGAUCCUUCGGGGGUGUUCAGUGCCGGAGAGAAGUUGUUAAGUCUGCUACUUGGGGAGUACGUCCGCAAGGAUGAAACUUAAAGGAAUUGGCGGGGGAGCACCGCAACGGGAGGAGCGUGCGGUUUAAUUGGAUUCAACACCGUAAAACUCACCAGGGAAGACUGUUACAUGAAGGCCGAGAUGAAGACUCUGCUAGAUUUUCAG
rnacentral:rRNA from 1 species